rnacentral:rRNA from 1 species
UUGACCUCGGAUCAGGUAGGGAUACCCGCUGAACUUAAGCAUAUCAAUAAGCGGAGGAAAAGAAACCAACAGGGAUUGCCCCAGUAACGGCGAGUGAAGCGGCAAGAGCUCAAAUUUGAAAGCUGGCUCCUUCGGGGUCCGCAUUGUAAUUUGUAGAGGAUGCUUCGGGAGCGGUCCCCAUCUAAGUGCCCUGGAACGGGACGUCAUAGAGGGUGAGAAUCCCGUAUGGGAUGGGGUGUCCGCGCCCGUGUGAAGCUCCUUCGACGAGUCGAGUUGUUUGGGAAUGCAGCUCUAAAUGGGUGGUAAAUUUCAUCUAAAGCUAAAUAUUGGCCGGAGACCGAUAGCGCACAAGUAGAGUGAUCGAAAGAUGAAAAGCACUUUGAAAAGAGAGUUAAAAAGCACGUGAAAUUGUUGAAAGGGAAGCGCUUGCGACCAGACUCGCUCGCGGGGUUCAGCCGGCAUUCGUGCCGGUGUACUUCCCCGCGGGCGGGCCAGCGUCGGUUUGGGCGGUCGGUCAAAGGCCCUCGGAAGGUAACGCCCCUAGGGGCGUCUUAUAGCCGAGGGUGCAAUGCGACCUGCCUAGACCGAGGAACGCGCU